CAUCACCCCCCAUACACACAACACACUUCAAGCAGCUACCCCAUACACAUACGGUCUCAGACAAAAACGCAAACAUGCUCACAGAGACAUACAUUCACACACACAAGGAUACUCUCUGUCAGACACACUCUCAGGCACAUACACAGGUAGACAGUGCCUCAAUGUGUAUAUGUGACACUUUUUUUGUUAGUGGGGCCUCAUGUUUGAGUUUCGCCUAAGGCCUCAUAAAGUCUAGAGCCG